CUGGCUUUGUUCCAUGAUGCCGUCACCUAAGAUUUUAAUGAUCAUGGCCCAACUUUCUUGAUCUGCAGAGAAAGGUAUUAAUUUCCUCACUGGGUUGCCAACCCGCCUACCCUCUUCCUCAUCUGUGGGCACCACACUGAGCCUUCCAAGAAAGAGUGUCUCCCUCUGUCAGUC